AUUUGGAUAGUUUAAAUAAAACAUUGGUUUGUGGUGUCAAUUUUAUACUUUUGUAUUUCAAAUA
rnacentral:tRNA from 1 species